rnacentral:rRNA from 1 species
AGACCCGAAACCCGGUGAUCUAGCCAUGGGCAGGUUGAAGGUUGGGUAACACUAACUGGAGGACCGAACCGACUAAUGUUGAAAAAUUAGCGGAUGACCUGUGGCUGGGGGUGAAAGGCCAAUCAAACCGGGAGAUAGCUGGUUCUCCCCGAAAGCUAUUUAGGUAGCGCCUCGUGAAUUCAUCUCCGGGGGUAGAGCACUGUUUCGGCUAGGGGGCCAUCCCGGCUUACCAACCCGAUGCAAACUGCGAAUACCGGAGAAUGUUAUCACGGGAGACACACGGCGGGUGCUAACGUCCGUCGUGAAGAGGGAAACAACCCAGACCGCCAGCUAAGGUCCCAAAGUCAUGGUUAAGUGGGAAACGAUGUGGGAAGGCCCAGACAGCCAGGAUGUUGGCUUAGAAGCAGCCAUCAUUUAAAGAAAGCGUAAUAGCUCACUGGUCGAGUCGGCCUGCGCGGAAGAUGUAACGGGGCUAAACCAUGCACCGAAGCUGCGGCAGCGAACGUAUCACCCAAGACAACUUUACGGAGUUGACGAUUGACGGAGCGAAGCGACGUCAAAGCGUUCAUUAAAGUCGAGUUGGCUUAGGGAUACGUUCGUUGGGUAGGGGAGCGUUCUGUAAGCCUGUGAAGGUGUGUCGUGAGGCAUGCUGGAGGUAUCAGAAGUGCGAAUGCUGACAUAAGUAACGAUAAAGCGGGUGAAAAGCCCGCUCGCCGGAAGACCAAGGGUUCCUGUCCAACGUUAAUCGGGGCAGGGUGAGUCGACCCCUAAGGCGAGGCCGAAAGGCGUAGUCGAUGGGAAACGGGUUAAUAUUCCCGUACUUGGUGUUACUGCGAAGGGGGGACGGAGAAGGCUAUGUUGGCCGGGCGACGGUUGUCCCGGUUUAAGCGUGUAGGUGUGUGUUCCAGGUAAAUCCGGUUCACUUUAACACUGAGGCGUGAUGACGAGGCACUACGGUGCUGAAGCAACAAAUGCCCUGCUUCCAGGAAAAGCCUCUAAGCAUCAGGUAACAUCAAAUCGUACCCCAAACCGACACAGGUGGUCAGGUAGAGAAUACCAAGGCGCUUGAGAGAACUCGGGUGAAGGAACUAGGCAAAAUGGUGCCGUAACUUCGGGAGAAGGCACGCUGACACGUAGGUGAAGUGAUUUACUCACGGAGCUGAAGUCAGUCGAAGAUACCAGCUGGCUGCAACUGUUUAUUAAAAACACAGCACUGUGCAAACACGAAAGUGGACGUAUACGGUGUGACGCCUGCCCGGUGCCGGAAGGUUAAUUGAUGGGGUCAGCGCAAGCGAAGCUCCUGAUCGAAGCCCCGGUAAACGGCGGCCGUAACUAUAACGGUCCUAAGGUAGCGAAAUUCCUUGUCGGGUAAGUUCCGACCUGCACGAAUGGCGUAAUGAUGGCCAGGCUGUCUCCACCCGAGACUCAGUGAAAUUGAACUCGCUGUGAAGAUGCAGUGUACCCGCGGCAAGACGGAAAGACCCCGUGAACCUUUACUAUAGCUUGACACUGAACAUUGAGCCUUGAUGUGUAGGAUAGGUGGGAGGCUUUGAAGUGUGGACGCCAGUCUGCAUGGAGCCGACCUUGAAAUACCACCCUUUAAUGUUUGAUGUUCUAACGUGGACCCGUAAUCCGGGUUGCGGACAGUGUCUGGUGGGUAGUUUGACUGGGGCGGUCUCCUCCUAAAGAGUAACGGAGGAGCACGAAGGUUGGCUAAUCCUGGUCGGACAUCAGGAGGUUAGUGCAAUGGCAUAAGCCAGCUUGACUGCGAGCGUGACGGCGCGAGCAGGUGCGAAAGCAGGUCAUAGUGAUCCGGUGGUUCUGAAUGGAAGGGCCAUCGCUCAACGGAUAAAAGGUACUCCGGGGAUAACAGGCUGAUACCGCCCAAGAGUUCAUAUCGACGGCGGUGUUUGGCACCUCGAUGUCGGCUCAUCACAUCCUGGGGCUGAAGUAGGUCCCAAGGGUAUGGCUGUUCGCCAUUUAAAGUGGUACGCGAGCUGGGUUUAGAACGUCGUGAGACAGUUCGGUCCCUAUCUGCCGUGGGCGCUGGAGAACUGAGGGGGGCUGCUCCUAGUACGAGAGGACCGGAGUGGACGCAUCACUGGUGUUCGGGUUGUCAUGCCAAUGGCACUGCCCGGUAGCUAAAUGCGGAAGAGAUAAGUGCUGAAAGCAUCUAAGCACGAAACUUGCCCCGAGAUGAGUUC